CACGAUUUUAAUAAGACGUAGAUAGGGAAAAAAACAAACUUUUGCUAAAUAAAAUGUUAUAUUAACACUUUUAAUAAAAAGAAAUCAAUAAAAGCGAUCGCUUACCGUUACUCUUGAAGAAUUAAUUCCAAAAAUAGCCGUCGGUAGCGUAGACUUUUUAAAAAAACAAUUUUUCGUCUUUCGAACGGCGUUUUCCUAUCUCUUUCCUUAUUAAAUUUCAGAACGACACUUGCCAGCGCUCGCCGGAAGUGAGAAUUCCGUGUGACACAAAACAAUCAGCAAUUUGACGUGAGAUUCGUAUCUGUACUUACCUCAUCUGUGCCUUCGGCGACGAAUUGCUGCCGCAGCGAGCGAGCCUCAAGCGAGCGAGCAAGGCAGCAGAUCCUAAUUUUGUUUUGUGGGUCAAAAUCAAAAUUUUCUAUUUGGCGCAUUGCAUGACGGUAUCGGUGAAUUUUGACCGUGGUGCAGCGCGGUCAGGCAUAAGGCAAAUAGGCAAUGUGAUCAUCUUUCAUAUUUUUCUUCUUUUAUGGAAAGCCAUAGCUGGCUUAAAGUGAUCAAACGGCAUUUUGGCAGCGAAUGCGCCAAGCAGCAUGAACGCGACUGAAAUACGAUAUUAAUAAAAUCUUGAAUGUGCCGUAUGAUUUAAUUAUGUUUUAGGAUUUAAAUAUGCUUAAUUAGUCAUUUGUAUUUAUACUUGUACUGCAUCACAAGUCAGUGCGUAAGUGAACAGAUUCCUCAUGUGAGGUUGUCUUGUAUAUAUUUUUGCCUUCUUUGAUAAACAUUAUUUAAUAAACACGCAAAUUUGAAUAGUGAGACGCACAGUCGCACAUGUUAAAUGUCACCUGUAUAUCAUUGUCAUUGCCCUUGGCCCUGGUCUAAUUAGUACGUUUUUGAAAAUGUUGAUGUAUAAAUUAUGGAUGAUUCCAAUUCAUUACAAAUAUUUCUUAUUCUUGUUCUUUAAAUACUAAAGAUUUGGGAACAAUUCUAUACCAAGGCAGCAUUAACUACCCUGUGGGUAAACUAGUUUAA